UCCAGUGGCUAAGGAAAUGUGGAAGACUCCUUAAGCGUCUAGGUUGAGGAUGUUACAAAUGGUGUGACUCGUCUCUAUUGUUGAUUAUCUUGUACACAUCUAAGAUAUGCUUAACUCACAAUUUAUGAAUGUAAAACCAAAACUAUAUCUACAUGGCAAACCACUAGAUGAGUUAAAUACAUCUUUUCUUUUGUAAUCUCUGUGACCCAACAUUUUGAAAUGAUGCUCUGAAAUAUCUGCAUUGUGAAAAGCAUGUUUUGCAAGUGCAGAAGGUAAAAAAACCUCAAGAGUGUAAUGCGCAGCACUCUGUUUGUUGUUGACCCUUACAUGUGACCUAUGCUUAAUGUCAUCAGGCCAAUAUUCAUCCGUCUUCACUGAGAUUGGCUGCAUCCCUUUGACCAUGACUUCCUACACUCCCGCAACUGGAUGGGUCACACUCAGCACCUUCAACUGGGUAAUUGGCAACACAAACCCCAUGGACUACAGCCGUCCUUUCUUCUGUGCCAAGUCUCAACUGGAGGAGACGCCAGAUACCUUCUUCACCGCCUUGCAGUCUGUGGCCAUGAAGAAUAAGAAAGUGGAGUAAACAUCUGGGGCAUCUCGGCAAGAUAAUGAAAACUGCUCCUGUCAGAGCUAAUUUGAAUUAUUAUCAUUUUAUUAUUAUUCAAUAUUCAUCAUGUUUUACAAUGAUUUUCAAUUAUUAUUUACCCUGCUAAGCCACCAGACAACAGGAGUCAUAGGAAUGUGCGUGAAAUUAUUCAAUGCACUCUUAAAACAUGAUUUAACUCUGUUGUUAUAGUAGUAUUGAGGUGAAACCCACUGCAUUACUUGGCAAUGAAGUCGGAUGGAAAGCUUAAGUUAGACGCGAAAAUCAAGACUGUUAAAAGUGACACAGUAAGAACUAAGUUAAGGAAACCUUUUAAUAGCAGCUGAGCUACAUUCCUGACAUGUUUUUAUAUAGCUGUCAAGAUCUUCAAUACAAUAUUUUGAAAGCAUCCAACAA